rnacentral:rRNA from 1 species
AUUGAACGCUGGCGGCAGGCCUAACACAUGCAAGUCGAGCGGAUGAACGGUGCUUGCUCCUGGUUUCAGCUGCCGACUGGCGUGUAAUUCCUAGGUAUCUCCCUUUCUUUUUUUUCUUACGUCCUGACACGGGCCCUCUUACCCUAUUCGCCCUUAUGUCGUACGUGGGGGAUCUUUGGAUCUUCCGCUAUUUUCUGAUCCUAGGUCGGGUUUGCUCGUUGGUGUGGUAAAGGCCUACCAAGGCGACGAUCCGUAACUGGUAUGAUAGGCUGAUCAGUCACACUGGAAGUGAGACACGGUCCAGACUACUACGGGAGGCAGCAGUGGGGAAUAUUGGACAAUGGGCGAAAGCCUGAUCCAGCCAUGCCGCGUGGGUGAAGAAGGUCUUCGGAUUGUAAAGCACUUUAAGUUGGGAAGAAAAGCAGUAAGUUAAUACCUUGCUGUUUUGACGGUACCAAAAGAAUAAGCACCGGCUAACUUCGUG